CAGCGAAAUGCGAUACUUGGUGUGAAUUGCAGAAUCCCGUGAACCAUCGAGUCUUUGAACGCAAGUUGCGCCCGAAGCCUUGGCUGAGGGCACGCCUGCCUGGGUGUCACACGUCGCUUCGCCUCCAAAACCUUCCCCCUUGCGGUGAUGGUAUGGAUGCGGAAGAUGGCCUCCCGUGACCGCGAGCCACGGAUGGCCCAAGUCUUUGCUGGGGGAGCGAAGCGCCACGGCUUUCGGUGGUCGGUACUGCCCUCGAGGCAAUCAAUCAAGCCCGUGGUAGCCGCGACAGCCCCCGGUGUACGGCCCUAAUCAUUAGAACAACCAACGCGACCUCAGGUCAGGCGGGGCUACCCGCUGAGUUUAAGCAUAUCAAUAAGCGGAGG
rnacentral:rRNA from 1 species